ACCAACUGUCCGACGGGAUCCCCAGAAGCGUUGCUAAGCUAAGCCAGCUGACGGAAAUGGACCUGAGCAGGAAUCAGCUCACCGGAGGCAUACCGGUAGAGCUCGGCGCCAUGCCGGUGUUAAGUGUCCUUAACCUGUCGUCGAACAAGCUCUCCGGCAACGUGCCGCAGGCGCUUGCGAAGCCGACACUCACCGCCCUAACCUGUCCUCGAACCAUCAGACCGGCCAGGUCCCGGCCGGGUUCGCCACCGCGGUCUACGACACCAGCUUCCUCAACAACCCCGGCCUCUGCACCGCCGCUUGGGGACCUGGCUACCUCACGGGCGUACGCUCCUGCGCCGGUGGAUCACAAGACGGCGGUUCCUCCGGAGGCGUGUCGCACGCCCUGCGCAGGGGAACCUCGCCGUGGCGUUCGCCUUCUUCGUCGUCCGCGACAUCAAGAAACGGCGGCGCGUCGCGGAGCAAGACAACUGGAAGAUCACGCCUUUCGUCAAAGAUCUGGGAUUCGGUGAGGCACCCAUACUCCGGGGGCUGACGGAGGAGAACCUCGUCGGGCGCGGGGGAUCGGGGCGCGUGUACCGCGUCGCCUACACCAACCGGCUUAACGGCCGAGCCGGCGCGGUGGCCGUAAAGCAAAUACGGACCGCCGGGAAGCUCGACCAGAAGCUGGAACGCGAAUUCGCGUCAGAGGCUGGCAUCAUCGGCAACCUCCGGCACAACAACAUCGUCAAGCUCUUGUGUUGCCGCUCCAGCGCCGAGUCCAAGCUCCUCGUGUACGACUAUGGACAACGGCAUCCUGGACAGGUGGCUCCACGGCGACGCCCUCGUCGCCGGCGGGCGCCCCAUGGCGAGGGCGCGGUCCGCGCGGCGCGAGCCGCUGGACUGGCCGGCGAGGCUCAGGGUGGCCGUCGACGCCGCGCAGGGGCUGUGCUACAUGCACCACGAGUACGAGCCGCCCAUCGUCCACCGCGACGUCAAGACGAGCAACAUCCUGCUGGACUCGGAGUUCCGGGCCAAGAUCGCCGACUUCGGGCUGGCCACAGGAUGCUGCUGCAGGCCGGGGCGCCGGAAACGAUGUCCGCCGUCGCUGGCUCGUUCGGCUACAUGGCUCCUGGUAAGGAUUCAAACUUGCUGCUUUCAGUGAAUUUCUGUCCCAUUUCUACAAAUGCCACGUGUUCUCGUGUUGCCGGACCUUAGAUUGGGCCUUUUGAUGCUUAUCUGCAGAGUGUGCUUACACCAAGAAGGUGAACGAGAAGGUAGACAGCUUCGGUGUAAUUCUCCUGGAGCUCACCACCGGAAAGGAGGCCAACAACGGCGGCGAGCACGGCUGCCUGGCGGACUGGGCACGGCGCCACUACCAAUCAGGAGGGAGCAUCGCCGACGCCACAGACAAGAGCAUCAGAUACGACGGGUACUCUGACGAGAUCCAGGUUGUCUUCAGGCUCGGCGUGCUCUGCACCGCCGAUAUGCCGUCGUCGCGGCCAACAUGAACGACGUGCUGCAGAUCUUGGUCAAGUGCAGCGAGCAGACGUACCACAAGGGCAAGACGGAGCGUGGCCUCUUGUAUGAGGUGGCUCUUCUACCCAAACGCGGCAUUCGCCGGAAACAGCUUUCAAACGGCUCGGGGAUCGACAUCGAAGAGAAGAUGACAGCAUUGUCUGAAGAAAGGAACUGACCACUGCAUAUGCCAGUAAGCAGCUUGUGACAUCGUCAGUGAACUGCUUGCUAUAGUGAUACUUCACAUUUUAGCAGAGUACAGCGGAGAAUUAUGCCUCUAAUCUUUUUUUUUCUGAGGAGCUAAGUAUCUUUAUAUUAAAAAGAGAAUAUAAAUAGAAAAAAUCAGUCCAUUGGAAGCAACCACUCUAGCUCACCUAGGAGAAUAGAGAGAUUGCAUAAAUAAGCGAAGAAAAAACCGUCACCAGACCUUGACCCUGCACGGCUGGACUAGGGACAUGCAUAGUAUAGAGCAGGGCUUGUGGUUAGCCAAACCGUUCUGUGUAUUGAUACUGCAAAUCUGUAUUAAAUCACACACACAUUAUACGUUCCGACAGAAGAACUAGCAAACAUUACGAUUAUACUCCCUCCGUUCUUAAAUAUAUAACGCUAUUGACUUUUUUAUUUGUUUGACUAUUCAUCUUUUCUACAAAUAUUUUUGCAAAUAGAUAAACCUACGAGUUAAAUUUAAAGUACAUUCCACAAUAGUCAUAAUGAUACACAUUUUACUUUAGUUAACUAACUCAUUCAAUAGAUAUUGAUGGUCAAAGUUGAAGUAAAAAGCCAACAGCGUCAUAUAUUUAAGAAUGGAGGGAGUAAUUUAUUUCUGAAAUAAAGGCAGGAGAUGGAGCUCUGCUUAUCCAUUCAGAAAUUAGUACGAUUGAAUGAUUUUGUCUCCUUCCAGUUUAAAACACAGAAUAUUACACGGAUAGGCACUGAUUGUUAUCCGGAAGAAAAUGAAUUUUUAUAUUUCAAAAGAAAAGGCCCAAUUUGCACCCUCUAGCUAGCACGAUAAUCCAAUUUUCAGCUAAACUGACCAUGGGCCGGCCCAAAGGCACAGGAAUUUGGCCCGGUCUAGGCAUGGCAGCCGUCGUGCCCGUGCUAGCCCGACCCACACCAUGGGCCGUGCUUGGGCCGUUGCCUCAGCCCACGUACUGGUCCGGCACGGCCUGCCCAUUUGGCCCGUCGGGAUUAAGUGGGCGGCCCAUCCUAUUAAGGCCCACUCGACCGCAUAUAAAACCCCCCACCCCCAAACGGCCAAAUCCUACCUUCCUCCUCGUGUCCCGCGCCCUUCGCCGCCGUCACCUCCCCCGCGCCCUUCGCCGCCUCUCGCGCCCGCCGGCCGCUCGCGCCCUCCGCCGCUUCCCCCCGCCGCCUCCCUCACGCCCUCCGCCGCAUCCUCCCACCGCCUUCCUCGUGCCCUCUGCCACCUCCCGCGCCCGCUGGCCUCUCGCUCCCCUGCCACCUCCCCCGCGGCCCUCUGCCGCCUCCUACACCCGCCGGUCCCUUGCCGCAACUGGGGAAGAUGGUGGCCUGCACGGCGGCGCGCGCAAACGUCCUGUCGUCCCUCGGCGGUGGGAGUUGCGGCACGAGUGGGCGCCUGGGCAGAUCCGGGAAAGGUCUAUGGGCGCCCUGACGACGAGGUGGUCGAAGUCAUCGGGGCUAUCGGACUCGACGACGAUAGGCGCUACGGGCGUAUGAGCAGAGGAAGGGUGAAUUCUGUGCCGCAGGCUGGCACGAGCACGCUGAGGCCGUUAUGGCCCGCCAGGCCAGCGUGCCGGCACGGCCCACCUAAGAAGGCUGCGGGUCAUGCCUGGACCGCUCCUUCGGCACAUGGGCCGGCACGGCCUGGCACUAUUACCGUGCAAGCCUAACCGUGCCGGGCCUAACCGUGCCAGGCCAAAUCGUGCUCGUGCCAGGCCGGGUUGGGCUACCCAUUUGGCCAUCUAUACAUCCAACGGUUGAAACCAGAUAAAUUUUAUCCUUUAGCUGGUUUCAAAGAUGUUUUUUUUGUUUUAUUAGACAUUUAAAAAAAAUCUGAUUUAAUCUAAAAAUCCAUAACUAAUUAAUUUUAAAUCAUAAAAGUAUGAAACUAUUACCCAUCAUCUUUUUCUAGAAUGUUACCUUUUAUGUUGGUUUUUUUGAGUUAUUUGCAUAUUAUUGUCCCCAUCUCUAGUGUUUUAUUGCUUGUAGUCAAACCUGCUAUUUUUUUAUUGUUGUUUUGCAUUGUAUGAUUAUUGGAUGCUAUGUGAUACAAAGAUAAUUGUUCAACAACCAUAUGCAUCAUGAAGAAAUUUCCGGAUACGAUUGAUAUUAGUACAUUAUUAACUUCCCAUCAAGAAAUAUCAAUGAAGUGUUUUAUAUGAAUAUUUUUAAUGCACCUUGAGUUUUUGGAUAACCUUUUUCAUAAAAGUUAAUUAGAUGUAUUCUUAACUAAAUAAGCCAUUUGGUAAAUUUUCAAAAAUGUUUAUUGAGGUAACAGAAAAUUUAUUUAUUUAUUCUGGAAAAAGUUUUUUUAACGAAGUUAGCAAGGAAAGCACCUACCUAUUUUUUAUUUGUUAUUUUAGACCCGUUUAAUUCGCUCCCACGAGAAGUUGAAUAUAGACCUGCAAGAUGUUACUCAGGUGCUCUAACCACUAGACUAGAGUCCCUUUCGCUUCUGAAAAAGGUUUUACAAAAAUCUUUUCCCUAUUAUCUUUUGUUAAGUCUGGGAUGUUGCCGCACGUGGGAAAGAAAGAACGGGAAACAUAGACCGAGACCGCUGCUGCGCCGCCACCAUGCUUUGCCGUCGGAGGGUUAGGGUUCGGGGUUUCGGGUUAUGGGUCAUCGAUGGCGCGGCUAUCUCCGAUGUGGCUGGGAUAUAUGGGAGGUUGACGGUGGCUAGGUAGCAGGCGGUGGUGGCGGGUUGUGUGCGGGAUGGCGGGACACCACCAGUUCCGAUCUGUGGAAGACAAUAGGUGGCCUCUAGAGGCAGCGGGGGAAUCUUGGUGAGCUUCCCGCGCGGGGCUGGGUUAGGGCGGCGAAGGAUGGUGGCGGUGGAUGUGGCAGCGCGAGCCGCCGAAGAUGAUGGAGGAUGGCGGCGCGGGCGCGAGCAAAGGAGGAUAGUGCGAUGGUGAUCGAGGGUUGCGACCGGCGACGCCGGAUGCAGUGGCGAGAGUCGUCGGAGCUAGAGGAGGAGGGCGGCGCGGGGGCAUGGGCGUGCGCGCUCCUGGGCUGCCAUCACUGAAGGUGACAUUGGUGAUUUUUGUCACCUUCUGUGAUAUAUAGAUAUAGACAUGCUCUAGAUAGAGGACUCCUUGGAGAGACCCCGAGAAUGGAGAUGGGCAUUUGGAGGUCUUCCAAAAUAAGGAAUCUAGAGGACUUGCUAGAAUGCAUUUUUUUUGACUUGGGCCAUUGGAGUUGUUCUAAGCCAACAACUAUUAGCAUCCUUUUAGAUAACUCUGUUAAUCUGAAAUACAACAGUUUCCUACUUUAUGUAUAAUGAGUGUCAUUGCGUCACUACGUGCGAGGUCUACUUUAUGGCGGAUCUGAAGGUGUGUUUGGUUGGGAUGUGGCUUUUGGAAAAGCUAUUGUGAGCUGUGGGCUGUGAAAAAGUAGCGGGGAGAAAGCAGCUGUGGGAAAAGCUGAAGACCGUUUGGUUAGAGCAGCUACGAAACUGUAGGUUGUGUAAGAAAUACCUGUAAUGCCCCUAAAGGUCUGUGGGUGUGUUUACAUGCAAAUUGCUCAUAACAAAAUAAUGUGUUCACUAAUUCACAUGUAAAUGACUAUUUUAGAAAGGAAAAAAAAUAAAUUUUAUAUGUUCUUCAUCCAUCUAAGUGAUUGGUCCACAUAAAUAGAACAAUAUCCAUCAAAAGGUUUAUACAAUGAUGUCAUCUCUCAACCAAAUAAAAGUCUUCUUCUAGACCAGUAGUACCAAAUAAAAGUCCAAAACCCACGCAGCAAACCGAACGGGGCUCGUGCCAGUCUAACAAAAACCAACUCCCGCUCCCUCCGCAUUUGAUUGCAGAAGCAGAUCGUCCUCCUCUUGCUGCGUUAGUAAGGUACAUAAUAAUACAAGUAUUGCUAACUUGAUGAAGGAAUCAUGUAUACCUUUAGGAGGCACGAGAAAUAUGUCACACCACGCCGCGCGUCCGUGUACCCGCGUAUCCUCGGUCUCGUGCUCGUGCUGCUCCGCGCGGCUGCGCAGCCCCCGCCGGCGGGCGAGGCGCGGCUGCUGCUCGAGAUCAAGCGCGCGUGGGGCGACCCGACCGUGCUCGCGGGGUGGAACGGCACGGCCGCGGCCGCGCUCUGCAGCUGGCCGCACGUCGGGUGCGACGCGUCCGGGCGCGUCGUGAACCUCACCCUCGCGAACGCUCACGUCGCGGGGCCCUUCCCUGACGCCGUCGGCAACCUCUCCGGCCUCACGUACCUCGACGUCUCCAACAACAGCAUCAGGUCCGUGUUCCCGAGCGCGCUGUACCGCUGCGCUUCGCUUCAGUACCUCAACCUCUCCCAGAACUAAUUCGGCGGUGUGCUCCCGGCAGAAAUCGGCAGCGGCCUCGCCGCGAGCUUGACCACGCUGGACCUCGACGGCAACGAGUUCAACGGCACCAUCCCGGCGUCGCUCUCCCGGCUCCGGAACCUCGAGUAUCUCGCGCUGAACAGCAACCGCUUCACCGGUAUCAUCCCAGCGGAGCUCGGCGAGCUCGCGAGCCUGCAGGUGCUGUAUCUGGAUAACAACCCGUUCAACGCAGGCCAGCUGCCGGCGUCGUUCAAGAAUCUGACCAACCUGGUCAGCCUCACGGCGUCGCAGUGCAAUCUCGUCGGGGACUUCCCGAACUUUCUUUGGAGCCUGAAGAAGCUGCAACAAUUGUAUCUGUACACGAACAACAUCACCGGCGACAUGGUCGUUGAUGGAUUUGCGGCGAGAAGCUUGACAGAAAUCGACGUCUCAGAAAACAAAAUUAGUGGAGUCAUCCCUGAAGUGUUUGGGGGAUUGGAGAACCUCACACUCUUGAACCUCUUCAUGAACAACUUCUCCGGCGAGGUACCAGCCAGCAUCGGCCAGUUGCCGUUACUGAGGAUAUUGAGACUCCACACCAACAGGCUCAACGGCACGCUCCCACCGGAGCUCGGAAAGCAGUCGCCGGGUUUGUAUUAUGUUGAGGUUGACUACAAUGAGUUCACCGGCGUGAUCCCGGAAGGGCUGUGCACCGGAGGCAACUUACAGUACCUCACCGCCAAGAGCAACCGAUUGAACGGCUCCAUCCCGGCAGGCCUUGCCAACUGCACCACUCUGGAAACCCUGUCGCUGGACAAUAACCAGCUCUCCAGCGACGUGCCAGAGGCUCUCUGGACGGCAACGCAGCUUUACUUCGUGACACUACAGGGUAACCAGCUCACCGGAAGUCUUCCUGCGACGAUUCUUCUCAACAUUUCGACGUUACGCAUUGGGAACAACCAAUUCAGUGGCAACAUUCCGGCUGCAGUAGCUGCUCUCCAGGUGUUCACCGCCGAGAACAACCGGUUUUCUGGUGCGAUACCGGCGAGUCUUGGCGACGGCAUGCCGCUGCUGCAAAGACUCAGCUUGUCCGGGAACCAACUGUCCGGCGGGAUCCCGAGAAGCGUUGCUAAGCUAAGCCAGCUGACGCAAAUGGACCUGAGCAGGAAUCAGCUCACCGGCGGCAUACCGGCAGAGCUCGGCGCCAUGCCGGUGUUAAGUGUCCUUGACCUGUCGUCGAACAAGCUCUCCGGCAACGUACCGCAGGCGCUUGCGAAGCCACAACUCACCUCCCUGAACCUGUCCUCGAACCAGCUGAGCGGUCAGGUCCCGGCCGGGUUCGCCACAGCGGUCUACGACACCAGCUUCCUCGACAACCCCGGCCUCUGCACCGCCGCUGCGGGAUCCGGCUACCUCACUGGCGUCCGCUCCUGCGCCGGCGGAUCACAAGACGGCGGUUCCUCCGGAGGCGUCUCGCACGCGCUCCGCACAGGCCUCCUCGUCGCCGGCGCCUCGCUCCUCCUCAUCGCCUCGGCGUUUGCCUUCUUCGUCGUCCGCGACGUCAAGAAACGGCGGCGCGUCGCGGAGCAAGACGACUGGAAGAUCACACCUUUCGUCAAAGAUCUGGGAUUCGGUGAGGCACCCAUACUCCGGGGCCUGACGGAGGAGAACCUCGUCGGGCGCGGGGGAUCGGGGCGCGUGUACCGCGUCGCCUACACUAACCGGCUUAACGGCAGAGCCGGCGCGGUGGCCGUGAAACAAAUACGGACCGCCGGGAAGCUCGACCAGAAGCUGGAACGCGAGUUCGCGUCGGAGGCUGGCAUCCUCGGCAGCCUCCGGCACAACAACAUCGUCAGGCUCUUGUGUUGCCUCUCCAACGCCGAGUCCAAGCUCCUCGUGUACGACUACAUGGACAACGGCGGCCUGGACAGGUGGCUCCACGGCGACGCCCUCGUCGCUGGCGGGCGCCCGAUGGCGAGGGCGCGGUCCGCGCGGCGCGAGCCGCUGGACUGGCCGGCGAGGCUCGGGGUGGCCGUCGGCGCCGCGCAGGGGCUGUGUUACAUGCACCACGAAUGCGAGCCACCCAUCGUUCACCGCGACGUCAAGGCGAGCAACAUCCUGCUGGACUCGGAGUUCCGGGCCAAGAUCGCCGACUUCGGGCUGGCCACGAUGCUGCUACAGGCCGGGGCGCCCGAGACGAUGUCCGCCGUCGCCGGAUCGUUCGGCUACAUGGCUCCUGGUAAGGAUCCGAACUUGCUAUUUACAGUAGAUUUCUGUCCCAUUUUUCCAGAUUCAGACAUUAAGUAACUAGGGAGCAUCUACUGUAGCUGUAGCAUAUGUCACGAGUUAUCGUAUUGCCGGACCUUCGAUUUGGCGUUUGAUGCUUAUCUGCAGAGUGUGCUUACACCAAGAAGGUGAGCGAGAAGGUUGACGUCUACAGCUUUGGCGUCGUCCUCCUGGAGCUCACCACCGGCAAGGAGGCCAACUACGGCGGCGAGCACGGCAGCCUGGCGGAAUGGGCACGACACCACUACCAGUCAGGAGGGAGCAUCCCCGACGCCACAGACAAGAGCAUCAGAUACGCAGGGUACUCCGACGACAUCGAGGUUGUUUUCAGGCUAGGCGUGCUCUGCACCGCAGAGAUGCCAUCGUCGCGGCCAACCAUGAACGACGUGCUGCAGAUCUUGGUCAAGUGCAGCGAGCGGACGCACCAGAAGGGCAAGACGGAGCGUGGCCCGGAGUAUGAGGCUGCCCCGCUACUUUCCAACGGCUCGGGGAUUGAGAUUGAAGAGAAGAUCGACUUCGACCGCAUUGUCUGAAGAAAGGAACCGACCACUGCACAGGCCAGUAAACAACCUUCGACAGCAUCAGAGAACGGCUGUAGUGAUACUUCAGUUAGCACAUUUUAGCAGAGUGCAGCGAGGGCUAUAGUUGUCACAAGACCUUGACCCUGCACUAGGUCGUUAGUACAGGCAUGUUAUAGAUCAGGGCUUGUGGCGAACCAAACCGUUUCUGUGUUUUGACACUGCAAACUUGUAUUAUUAAAUCACAAACACAUUAGACUAGUCAGACAGAAGAACCAGCAAAUGUGAUGAUUUCCUUUUGAAACAAAGGCAGAAGAUGGAGUUCUGCAUGUCUAUUCAAAAAUCAGUACGAUUGCAUGAAUUCAUCCACCUGUUUAUUGUAAAAGCACUGGUUGGUUGGGAUAUGGCAUCAUAAUACAAACUUGGAGUGAUAAGGAAAAUGAAGCUGGAAGGAAGGGCUACUGCCCCAAGAACUCCAUUGGAGCUAGUAGAGGAGGAGGAGGAGGAGGAGAAGGUAGGGAAAAGAAGAAGAAGAAAAGAUGAAGAGGUGGUGGAGAUGGGGAAGGAAGAAGCUAGCCCCCUAUAUUUGUACUUUGUCUCAGCCAUUGAGGGGGUGUUUGGAUAUUAGGUCCUAAACUUUAGACAUGUCACAUCGGAUGUUCGGAUGCUAAUUAGGAGAACUAAACAUGAGCUAAUUAUAAAACUACUUGCAGAAUCCCUGGGCUAAUUCGCGAGACAAAUCUAUUAAGGCUAAUUAAUCCAUCAUUAGUAAAUGGUUAUUGUAGCACCAUAUUGUCAAAUCAUGGACUAAUUAGGUUUAAUAGAUUCGUCUCACAAAUUAGACUUCAUCUGUGUAAUUAGUUUUAUAAUUAGACUAUGUUUAAUACUUCUAAUCAGUAUCCAAACAUCCGAGGUGACAGAUGUUAAAGUUUAUCACGUGGGAGCCAGCCCCUGAAUGUGCUAUAUUUCGAACUCAUUGACGCCAUGCGGUUUUUUUUUAUUUUUAACCUUUUUUAUUUUUAUUUUUAAAAAUAACCUCUGCCGAACUUUAUUUGCGGCAGAUGACCCUUUGCUCGCGCCAGACCGCCUGGCGCGGCAGGAAGCCUCUGCCGUGCCACAUGCAUUGGUGUGGCGGACCCCUGCCACGCUGGCGCGGCGACUUGCCGCACCAGGUGGGCACUGACGUGGGCGGGCGCUCGCCGCGCCAGCCCGCCUAGCACGGGCAGCGCCUCACCUAGACACGCACGCUGGCUCCUUCCUUCCUCCCUCCCUCCUUUCUUCUUCCUCCAGAACACCCGUGCCCUAGGGUAUGUUUUGGACUUGAGAGCAAGGGGGCAGCCUCAGUGGUGGAUACUCCGUCCCAAAGCAUACUCUUGUCAUAUAAGGACUGGUUCAUUGGGCGAGUCUUUCUUGUGAACCGUACAACCAUACAUGCCAAAAAAGUACAACCUUCGGAAGUACCUACCUAUGUGAGGCCUUGGUUCAAACCCCGCUAGCUGAACCUAGUCAACCAUCCCAAGGGGUCAAGGUGGGCAACGGGUAUACUGGAGCAGGACCUUCGCAUAGUCCCAGGUCCGGUCAGCACGGGUCGACUGUUGAGAGGGCCGGAGGCCCUGAUAAUUUAUUUAUGCAUGCCUUUCCUGGGAUAGUAUCAGCAGGCCCCUAUUUAGACCCCAGUAUAUCCGUGGAUGGACCUAAGGAAUGCCGUCCAGAGAUGGACACGGGCAGGUACAGAUCUCGUAGGCUAGUAAGUACUAUGUAUGGGCUAGCCGGACAUAUGGGGAAAGUGUACACCUCUGCGCAGAGUAUAAUCUAUUCGAAUAGCCGAGGCUUACGGUCACGAGCCUACUAAGUCAAAGCCCCCAUGAUUACUCUUUCAAGCUCUUUGGGUGGGAUUAGUGUGUUAAAAUUAUUGGAUGAAGGUCGAAUGACUGGAUUCCAGGACUAAAACGUGGGGAUUGGUACGGGAGGUAGUUUUCCCCUCUAUAACCAUCACUCUAAAAUAACAUGCUUUUAGAAGAGUAUUUUCAAUUCUCACCUUUUAAUUCACCUUGCAUAUGAGAGAUGCUUUAGGCUUAGGAUUAUACCUAUAAACCAUGUUCCUUAUCCACCUCCUAAAUUGCAUAUAAUUACUUGGUAAAUGUUGGGACUUGCUGAGUACCAACCAUAAGUAUACGCAACCUUACUUUCAUCAUGCAGGUGUAGAUCUCCAGAUCUCCAGGUGUUAUAAACCAUCUUGUUAGUGGAUAGGCACCACUUCGCUACAUUAAGGUGAAAAACUUUUCUUAUUAAAUUAGACACCUUUUCUUUCUUAAAUACUAAGUUGUGAUGAUAAUGGUAUUAGCCUACUAAUCCAGGGACUAAUACAUGUGAUCAGCGGGACUCCCAAAGAGAGGUCCCACAGGCUGUCUCCAGUGUGACCAGGAUAUAGAAGAGGUCAUUGGCAGCUAGGUAGCAGGCGGUGGUGUGCGGGUUAUGUGCGGGACGGCGGGACGCCACCGGCCGCGAUCCGUGGAAGACAACAGGUGGCCUCUGGAGGCAGUGGGGGAGUCACUUCGAGCUCCUCAGCAUGUCCAGGUUAGGGUGGCAAAGGAUGGUGGCAGCGGAUUUGGCGGCACGAGCUGCCGGAGAUGGUGGAGGAUGGCGGCGCAGGGGCGAGUAGAGGACGGGGUGCGAUGGUGAUUGAGGGUUGCGACUAGUGGUGGCAAGAGCCGUCGGAGCUACAGGAGGAAAUGCUCACGGGAGCAUAGGUUGCGCGCGCUCCUGGACCGCCAUCACCGAAGGCGACAUUAGUGAUUUUGUCGCCUUCAGUGAUAUAUAGACGCGACCCCCGAGAAUGGAAAAGGGUAUUUGGAGGGCUCCGGGAACCUAGCAGAGAACUUGCCGGAGUGCUUUUUUUUUUACUUGGUCCUAUGGAGUUGUUCUAAGCCAACAACUAUUACUCUAUUAGCAAUUUUAAGAUAACACUGAAAUAUGGUAGUCUCCUACUUUAUGUGCAGUGUCGUUGCGUCCAUAAGUGUGAGGUCUACUUUAUAGCGGACCUGAGCCUCAACCGCUCCGGCCCACGGGCACAAAAAAACUCUAAUUGCCGUGUUUGACGGAGCACUGUGGGAGUUCUGCUGGGCUGUCCCGUUUCUGGUGACCGUUAGAUUAGCGAACUGAUUCCGAACCCGUUGAUUAGCGAUGCGGUCAAGAGCAAAAAUCGAUUCCUCUAACUGCCAACAAACCAUAUUAUUCACUGGUAGUUUGAAUCCAAACUCCAAAGUCUUCCAGAGCACCAGCCAAGGUCGGCACGUACUACUAAUCAAAGGCAAUUCGAGAGCUUCGCAGCAAGCACCUCCUGCACGGUCUGCUGCCAAAGUGUGCACACCAAAUAAAAGUCUUCUUUUAGACCAGUAGUACCAAAUAAACGUCCAAAACCCACGCAGCAAACCGAACGGGGCUCGUGCCAGUCUAACAAAAACUGGGGACUCCCGCUCCCUCCGCAUUUGAUUGCAGAAGCAGAUCGUCCUCCUCUUGCUGCGUCCACCUCGCGCCGUGGCGGCCGUGCUGUGCAGGCGUGCACAACCAACGCCACGCCGCGCGUCCGUGUACCCACGUAUCCUCGGUCUCGUGCUCGUGCUGCUCCGCGCGGCUGCGCAGCCCCCGCCGGCGGGCGAGGCGCGGCUGCUGCUCGAGAUCAAGCGCGCGUGGGGCGACCCGCCCGUGCUCGCGGGGUGGAACGCCACGGCCGCGGCCGCGCCCUGCAGCUGGCCGCACGUCGGGUGCGACGCGUCCGGGCGCGUCGUGAACCUCACUCAUAUUUGGCAAUCAAAAUGCGAAAUACUUCUGGAUCAAAGACACCCUUUUCAUCAUUUAGAGACUUUGGCUUCGAUGUUGCUAUGAAUCUAUCCCUAUCCUCUUACGGAAUGGCAUGACAGUGAAUCGCAAUAUACCUGCUGAGGUGAGUUGUACCUUUUCCAGGUUCAUAGGAUAAAUGAAACUUACAGUAUCUGCAUAUUGCCUUCUCCUUGCCAUCAAUCACUUCGGUAUCAACAAAUUUCCAAACUUUAGCCCUCUUCCUAGAUGAUCGACUUGACUGGUCAGUUACCAAACUAUCACGGCUGUCUACCUCAAGCACAACUUCUUGUCCUAGAUCCAUAUCACCUAGAUGACACAAAUGCAGUUUCAAUAUAAGAUAACAAAAGGAAUCACAAUUGUUACAUAAUAAAAAUUAGAACUACUGAACAUAACAUUCAGAUUGCCAUCACUUUUUUACUAGGCAUAUUGCGACAUGGAGAAUAUAUCACCAGAAUAGAGAAUCACUAGUUUACUACUCCCUCCGUUCCAAAUUGUAGGUCGUUUUGGCUUUUCUAGAUUCAUAGAUACUAUUAUGCAUCUAGAUAUAGUGUAUGUCUAGAUGCAUAAUAAUAUCUAUAAAUCUAAAAGAGCUAAAACGACCUAUAAUUUGGAACGGAGGGAGUACAUCGCUACAAGCCCUAAACAUCCCAUACAUGCCACUCAAUCACACACGUAUUCCUGCAGGCAAGAAAAAUAGAACUGCUUUCAUGAUUCCAUGGAUCUCUGGGCAACGAUGAAAGAGACAAUAGUUUAGCAUCUUGGGUACACUAGUAUACUACACACACAUAUAUAUAUGCUGCAAAUAUUCAGAGUUCAUAGUUCAGACUACUUGGUUCUUAUAGGAUGUGGCUACUCUAAUGCAACAGAUAGUACCUGAACAAUUUGACGAGCCAAAACUUACAGUCAGAAACAAACCAAACUACCCAAUGAACCGGAGCAAUAGCCUUAGAAUGAAGUAUGGCUUUAAUGCACACUGUGGUAGAAAAUAAUGCAAGUCUAGGAUUGUCGAGAUUAAAGUAUCGUUACCUUGUUGAGAAUGUUGCUGGGGAAUUGCCUAACAGAGAGCACGUCGGCAAUGAUGGUGUGGACGAGGAUGGCACAGAUGACGCUCAAUCAACCGCUUUGUGGCUGCACUACAAUGCUUUGUGGCUGCACUACAAAGUAGAAGCAUCAAAAUGCUGUCAUAACAUGCUCUGUCACCAAAGCAUUCGAUAAUCUCAAGUGCUUUAAAAAUCUCAGAUGAAAUCUCGGAGGAACAUGUGCUACUGGCUCCAAGAACAGAAGAUGCAACACAUGACGAAAGCGACCAUAUAAUUUGUAUGCGUAUUACAACACCACAUCAACUCGUUCUUUUACCAAACACAAGAAUCAGACACAACAUGGAGAGUCAAGAAAGAUGCACUCACCAUAUUUCGGCAAACUGAAGACAAUUGUUGUUACGGGGAUUUCUUGGAGAUGAGCACCGCGCUGCCCCUUCGCAGCUCUAGAGGGGAUCUCCACCCCUUGUGGCGGAUCCACUUCGGAUUAACUUGAUUAAAAAAAGUUAAGUCGCCUAACAUGCGACACCCAUGCCUAAGCCAAGUUAACACGAAGUGCCGUCGGAUUUCAUCCGAUGAACCACGUGAACAGGAUCGAGUUAGCAAACUCACACGAAGAUGAGUGGUUCCAGAGAAUACAACAAGUCCACCGAGUGGAACAACUUAACCAUUUAGUUCGACCAGAAAAACAAUUCAUCAGAGUUUUACAAGGUUUCAAAAGAAAACAAUCGAAGGUAAACAGCAAGCGGAAGCUAAACGCAGGGGUCAGACGUCCUUGGUGAGGCCAGCCAAGACGUCAGUGAUCCCUUUCCUCGCCAUCCGAGGAGGGAUCCCACUCGACCGUCCAACCCGGAGGGAGCUGGGGCGGCCAAGUGCCAGCGGAAGAAGGCUCGGGAGCAGCGACUUCACCUGAAAAACAGGAGCCACAACAAGGCUGAGCUACUAAGCUCAAUAAGACUUAACCGACAGGGAGUAACUACUCCACCACUUCUAGACAUGCAAGGCUCUUUGGCUGAGGGGGGUUUGUUUGCCAAGAAGCACUAGGUAAAACCCUAUUUUUAAGUUUUAGCUCCGGUUCUAAGUUCAUUAUCCAGUCUAAGUUUUGCAACCUAUUCUAGGCAACCAUAGAACCAACCAAAGGUAUAUAUAUAUAUAACAUCAUAAAGACCAUGUCGUCAUUAUAUUUCUUUCUUACUCAGGGUAGCAUAGCGAUCAAGCAGUCUCAAACUGUGAGAGGCAGAUGAAUUGAUUCGAGUUCUUUAACCAUGCAUGGUGAACCUAACCUCACGACAUCCGCGCACCCGAAGGUCACUUCCUGUGUCGGCCUUCCCCAUCAAUCCCCUAACCCGUGUCGGGCCCAUUUCCUUUGGUGUAAGGUUCCACAGACCCGGCCUCUGCCGUUCUGUGACCACGCUUGCCACCACGUGCGACAACUAGCAGGGGAAACUCCGUUCCAAGAACAAUGGGGCGACCGCUCACGUCUAGGUUCAAUCCGGUACUAGGCUUCCUCAUCCCAUACUAAGUAUGAGGUUAGUACUUUCAAACACUUGAUCACGAACACCACCACUGUCAGGCCUUAGCAAGUUUCAUAGAUAGACGGGGCGAUCAACCGACCACCAAAGAGUUACCCAAAACCCUGCCCCGUCCAUCGUCCUUAUAGUUGUGACAGGAGGAAGACAACCCCUACCACUCGCGAGCAAUAGGAAAUCACUCGACUUUUACCGCAUCCUAUUUAAGCAAAGCAGCUACUCGAUCCAACAGCUAGUGUUUAGAUCAAGGGAUCUAAGUUAUACAUCUAUGGUUCCAAACAACUCCUAUACGUAAAUGCACAAACAAGAUGCAGAAGGAAUGCGCAAGUCUGGAAAACAUAGGGAUUUCAUGCAUCCGGGGCUUGCCUUCAAGCGAGAAAAAUGGAAGCUGCUCUUCUGCUCGAGCGGCUUCGGCUUCUGAGGGCAGGAGCUCGGCUACACCAUCAUCUUCUGCCGCCGGGUACAGCUCGUAGUAGCCGUCGGCCAGACACAGCUCUACACGAAUGCAAUGCAAGAGUUAGCAUUUUAGACGGUUAUUUCAACAGCAACACUUGCAAGUAUGAGCCCAGAAACUUGCGACAAGUAACAGGAGGGUGGGAAGGUUAAAGGAGUUGGUGGAGAUCAAGAGGUAAGGGUCGGAGGAAAGGAACUUAUGAUCGGAUCCUUAGACUAGAGGAAUAGCUAUGCUAGGGGUCCUCAGACUCAACGCUGAAAGGUCCCCAAGUUUUUACACAUACACCCUCGGUUCGAAGAAAAAGGAUACAGCCGAGUCCUCGGGCGAGGCGGACAAGGGUCGGCGGAACAGACAGGGUCGGACGAGACGGAACCGGGGUCGGACGGAUACGAGGGGUCGAGCGAAGCGGACAAGGGUCGGCAGAACAGACAAGGUCGGGCGAGACGGAAAAAGGGGUCGGGCGGACGGAAGGGUCGGACGAGGCGGCCAAGGGGUCAGCAGCUUACCUUCGUCUUACAAGGAAAGCUUGGGGUCGGAAAGAGCAGGUUCGGGCGGAGGAACUGGAAUACUAAGGCUUGCGGCGGAGAUGCCCGGCGGUGCUCCGGCGGCGGCGGUGCUUCUUGUGGAUCACAAGUAAGCUCUUACGCAGCACGGAGGAGCAAGCGGCUGGGUGGAUUGGGGAAAACGGUGUCGAGCGGAGAGGAGAGUUCCUCAGGGACUUAGUGUGGUGGCGCUAGGAGCUCGAACAGGGAGCAAGAGAAAUGGCGGGAGGGUAGUGAUGGCGAAGGGGACUCCGGCGGGGCUCACGCAUUCCCUUUUAUAGCGGCGCGGGAGUGAGAAGGGGAGUGGCACGAAGGCCGGGGAAGAAGCAAUGGAGUGCUCUGCCCGGGCGGCGAUUGAGCGACGAGGGCGGUGGAGCAGGACUUCGGGGAUUACGCCGGCGGUCAUUGGGCUCUGGCGUCAGGGCGGCGCAGGCGCGGGUUUGCCGGUGGUUGAGAUUUGGCGGAGGCGGGUGUCGUCGUGAGGUGGAGCUGAUGGAAGUGACCGGGAUAGCGGCGCUAGGAACGAGGGCGCACAGGUGAGAAGAUAGGCGGCUGCGGGCGUGCGGGCGAGUGCGGAGCAACAGAUUGUCGGGCGGUUUCUGACAGGGUGGGAAAAAGGAGCUGUCGCUGCCGUGGUCGGGGUUGGCGGAGGAGGAAUCGUCGGGUAGCGAAGACCAGGCGGCGCGACUGUGGCGAGGUGACGGAAAAGACGGGCGACAUCGGGCUCUGCGGCCGGGAUCUGGCGAUGUGAUGAUGGGCGCGGGUGGCGAGGUGCUGCAGAAAGGUUGCAGAGGGGUUUCCGCUGCGAUUGGGGAAGGGGGCGCGAGAAUCCAUUCGGUCGCGGGCCGAAGACGAGGCAGAGCGGCGGGCGUCGGAGGAGUUGAGCCACGCGGCGAGGGAACUCUGAAGUGAGCAUGCAACUCGAGUGCGCCUGUCGCGGAAGAUCUGGGGGAAAAGAUCUCGUGGGUCCACCGGUCAGAUCGAAGGGAGGUGUUGGGGAAAACUUAGAAGAAUCCGGCGGGUGAGUUGGGGUCGGCGGGGUCGGAACUGGAGGCCAGCGUAGAGGGGUCGGGUCUCAGGGGUCGGGACCGGUCGGGAGGUUGAACACUUAGGCUUGGAAAACUAAGGCAGGUGGUCAGGGGCUCAGAUUAAGAUUAACUCAAGAGAUUUCAGGGUCAGUCGUCACAGCCUACCCCUCUUAAAAAGAAUCUCGUCCCGAGAUUCAGGUGUAAGAGUAGGGUGUACCGUUCUUACCUCCUUGACGAGAUAGAAAACCUGGGAAGUGCUUGUUCAGAUACUCGUCUGUUUCCCAUGUUGCUUCAUCCUCCAUGUGUUUCCUCCAGAGGAUCUUGUACAUUCUGACCAUUUGGCGCCGGGUAUGCCUCUCUUUCUGGUCAAGAACUCUGUCUGGGUACUCGGCGUAGGUUAGGUCGGGCUCUAUCUGAAGCUGCUCUUGCUCUAAGAUCUCGGUUGGGACUUGGACACAUUUCUUCAGUUGAGACACAUGGAAGACAUCGUGUAUGGCCGAUAGCUGUUCUGAGAGUUGGAUCCGGUAAGCAACGGGUCCACAGAUCUCCACAAUCUCAUAAGGGCCAAUGUAGCGGGGAUCCAACUUGCCUUUCACUCCAAACUGUUGCACUCCCUUGGUUGGGGAGACUUGAAGAUACACAUGAUCACCAAUGUCAAACUGUAGGGGCCUUCUUCGCCUGUCGGAAUAACUCUUUUGUCGAGAUUGGGGAGCCUUGAGAUUUGCUUGAAUUACCCUUACUUGCUCUUCGGCUUCUACCACUAAGUUAGGGCCAUAGAUCUGUCUUUCUCCAGUUUGUGACCAAUUCAAAGGUGUCCGACAUCUCCGGCCAUAUAAGGCUUCAAACGGUGCCAUCUUCAAACUGGCCUGGUAGCUAUUGUUGUAGGAGAAUUCUACCAAUGGCAGGCACUUGUCCCAGUUCUUGUCAUAGUGGAUGACACAAGCUCUUAACAUGUCUUCAAGGAUUUGAUUGACUCUUUCGGUUUGACCAUCGGUUUGAGGAUGAUAGGUUGAGCUACGGAUGAGUUUGGUGCCCAUGGAUGCUUGUAGCUGCUCCCAAAAGCGUGCCACAAACUGAAUUCCUCGAUCAGAGAUGAUGGUCUUAGGUACACCGUGUAGGGAAACUAUGCGGUCGAGGUACAACUUUGCAUACUGCUUGACUGUGUGGGUGGUGCGGACAGGAAGGAAGUGGGCAGACUUGGUCAGGCGGUCCACUAUAACCCAGAUGAAGUCAUAUCGCUAUGAUGUAAGGGGCAGUCCAACUAUGAAGUCCAUGCUGAUGUCUUCCCAUUUCCAAGAGGGAAUAGGCAGGGGCUACAGGGUACCUGCUGCUUUUAGAUGGCUGGCUUUGACAUGUUGACAGGUGUCACAUUCUGAAACAUACCGGGCAAUUUCAGGCUUCAUUCCACUCCACCAGAAGGUUUGACGGAGAUCAUGGUACAUCUUAUUGCUGCCAGGAUGGAUUGAGAACUUGGAGAGAUGAGCUUCAUCUAGGAUCUGCUUCUUAAGGUUGGGGUCGGAUGGUACAACCAGUCAGUUUCCAUAAUAUACGUUUCCAGUUUCGUCCUAUCGAAACUGCUUAUAUCCUUCAUCUUUCAAGGAGAUCUUCUUGGUGAUCCGCUUUACUUCUUCAUCCUCCACUUGGGCUGACCUUAUUUGGUCUUCUAAAGCAGACUCAAGAGCUAUGUGGCUGAGGGUUCCAUGGGGAACAAUUUCCAGACCAAGUUUUCCCAUCUCGUGACACAAAGUCUCGGUGAAGGUUGUUGCCGACAAGCAGUUGCAAAAGGUCUUGAGACUAAGAGCAUCGGCCACCACAUUGGCCUUGCCGGGAUGAUAGUGAACUUCCAAAUCAUAGUCUUUUAUUAGCUCUAACCAUCUCCUUUGGUGCAUGUUGAGGUCAGCUUGAGUGAAGAUGUACUUGAGACUCUUGUGGCCGGUGUAGAUGUUGCAGUGGGCGCCCAUCAGAUAGUGUCUCCAUAUCUUUAAGGCAUGAAUCACUGCUGCCAACUCAAGAUCAUGGGUCGGGUAGUUCAGCUCAUGAGGUCGCAACGCCCGUGAGGCAUAGGCAAUGACUUGGUUGUCUUGCAUAAGAACACAUCCAAGUCCAGUGCCAGAGGCGUCACAGUACACGUCAAACGGCCUAGAGGGGUCGGGUUGGGCCAAAACUGGGGCUGUGGUCAGCAGGCGCUUUAAGGUUUUGAAGGCUUCUUCACAUGUGUCGUCCCACAUGAAUCUGACCUCUUUCUUCAACAACUCUGUCAUCGGCUUAGCUAUCUUGGAGAAAUCCGGUAUGAAACACCGGUAGUAGCCUGCCAGUCCAAGGAAACUUCGUAUCUGGUGCACUGAGGCGGGAGGCUUCCAGUCCAUAACUUCCUGUACCUUGCUGGGGUUGACGGCUAUGCCAUCCUUGGAGAUAGUGUGUCCCAAAAACUUGACACUAUCUAACCAGAACUCACACUUGGAGAACUUGGCAUAGAGUUGAUGAUCUCUUAGCCGUUGGAGAACUACGCGAAGAUGGUUGGCAUGUUCUUCUUCACUCUUCGAGUACACGAGGAUAUCAUCAAUGAACACCACUACAAACUUGUCCAACUCAGGCAUGAACACUGAGUUCAUGAGGUACAUGAAAUAGGCGGGUGCAUUGGUGAGUCCAAAGGACAUGACCAGGUACUCGUAGGGUCCAUAUCUUGUGGAGAAUGCUGUUUUGGGUAUGUCGCAGGGUCGGAUCUUGAUUUGGUGAUAACCCGAACGAAGAUCGAUCUUGGAGAACACUUUUGCUCUAGCUAACUAAUCAAACAAGACAUCGAUGCGUGGCAGUGGGUACUUGUUCUUGACGGUCACCGCAUUGAGGGGUCGGUAGUCCACACACAUGCGGAGACUCCCAUCCUUCUUCUUCACAAACAAGGCGGGGCAACCCCAAGGUGAUGUGCUGGGUCGGAUGAAGCCUUUUUCCAACAGAUCAUGCAACUGGGUCUUCAACUCGGCCAACUCAGUAGGCGGCAUCCGAUAGGGUCUCUUGGACAUCGGAGCUGUGCCGGGGAUCAACUCUAUGGAAAACUCCACAUCUCUAUUGGGCGGCAUGCCGGGCAAGUCCUCUGGGAACACAUCCGGGUAUUCACAGACAACAGGGAGGCUUUCUAGCCGGGCUUCCGACAGAGGGUACGCACAAGGAAGUGCGGAUUUAGGAGGGUUCAAGAACAGGGUACAACUGCCAUGAAAGGGUGAGUUGAUGUAAAGAGUUCGGGCAGCUGUAUCUAGAACCACUUGGUGUCUGGUCAUCCAAUCCAUCCCGAGGAUGAUAUCUAUUCCUUCCAGGUCAAGGAUGAUAAGAUUUUCAUAAAAAAAGGGUUUGGCCUAGCUGGAGAGGUACAAGAGUAACGAUCUGAUCCGAGGCUAUCUUUCCUCCCGGAGUGGCGAUCACAUAGGAUUCUUUAGUGUGACCGACAUCCAGCUCACAUCUUUCUCUAGUCUUACUCCCGAUGAAGCUAUGAGAGGCUCCCGAAUCCAACAACACAACAACAGCUUGAUUUAAGACAAGGAAAGUACCCGUCAUCACUGGCGCACCUUCGGGGAGUUCGGUCAAGCUGGUGUAGUUGAGCCGUCCUUGUCGAACUUGCACCUUGGGCCUUCUUCCUCUGUUCGCUGCUGAUUUCUGUUCCUGGGGCAGUCCUUAGCAAAAUGCCCUUCAUUGCCGCAGGUGAAGCAGCGGUUACCAGUUGCAGGGUGGGGUGGUGCUGGUGGGGUCGGCUGGGGUGCCUGUGGUUGGAAGCCGGGAAAACGGGGCGCUGCUGCUGGUGGGGGUCAGGCAAUCCACCUUUCCGACUGUUGGGGUCGGCCGGGCGCUUGUGGAGGAACCAUCCGGAACCUUCGAGUUGGCUGGCUCAGAAAUGCCACGGAGGCCUUCCUCUUCUGGUCGGCUUUGAGAGCCUGCAUGCAAUCCUCUUGCGAGAUGGCCAGGUUGACCAACUCGUUGUAGGUAUCCACCUUGAUGGGGUUCAAUCUCUCUCUGAGCUCCAAACUCAGUCCUCAGCGGAAUCUAUCCCGCUUCUUCUCGUCUGUGUCCGCACGAUAGCCGGCAUAACAGCACAGAUCAUUGAAAGCCUGGGCGUAGUGCAGGACUGUGGCGGAACCACCUCGGAUUAGCUUGAUUAAGCAGGGUUAAGCCGCCUAACAUGCGACACUCCUGCCUAAACCGAGUUAAUACGAAGUGCCGUCGGAUUUCAUCCGAUUUAACCACUUAAACAGGAUCGAGUUUAGCAACCCACACAAAGGUGAGUGGUUACAGAGAAUACAACAAGUCCCCUGAGUUGAACAAGUUUUACCCAUUUAGUUCGGCCAUAAAAACCAACAUCGGAGUUUUACAAGUUUUCAAGAAACAACAGAGAAAACACUAGCGGAAGACUUCAUCGGGGUCGGACAUCCCUGGUGAGGCCAACCGGGACAUCACUGGCUCCUCUCCUCGUCGUUCGAGGAAGGAUCCCACUCGACCGUCCAGCCUGGCGGGAGCUGGGGCGGCCAAGCACCAACCAGAGAGGGGUCGGAAGCAGCAACUUCACCUGAAAAACAGGAGCCACAACAGGACUGAGCUACUAAGCUCAACAAGACUUAACCGAUAGGAGUUAGCUACUCCUCCAUCUAGACAUGCAAGGCUUUUUGGCAGAGGGGUUUGUUUGCCAAAAGUACUAAGUAACCCUAGUUUCAAGUUUUAGCUCCGGUUCUAGGUUCAUUUACCAGUCUAGGUUGUGCCACCUAUUCUAAGCAUUCAUAGAACCAAACAAGAUGAGUAGAUAUAACAACAAACAUUGCCAUCAUCAGAUUCCUCAUUUACUCAGGGUGACAUAGCGAUCAAGCAAUCUCAAACUGUGAGAGGCAGACGAAUCGAUUCGAGUUCUUUAACCAUGCAUGGUGAACCUAGCCUCACGACAUCCGCGCACCCGGGGGUCGCUUCCUGUGUCGGCCUUCCCCAUCAAUCCCCUAACCCGUGUCGGGCCCAUUUCCUUGGUGCAAGGUUCCACAGACCCGGCCUCUGCCGUUCUGUGACCACGCUUGCGACCACAUGCGACAACCAGCAGGGGAAACUCCGUUCCAAGAACAAUGGGGCGACCGCUCACGUCUAGGUUCAAUCCGGUACUAGGCUUCCUCAUCCCAUACUAAGUAUGAGGCUAGUACUUUCAAACACUUGAUCACGAACACCACCACUGUCGGGCCUUAGCAAGAUUUCAUAGACAGAUGGGGCGACUAUCCGACCACCAAAAAGUUACCAAACCCUGCCCCGUCCAUCGUCCUUAUAGUUAUAACAGGAGAGUAAACAUGCAACUCCUACAACUCGCGAGUGACAGGAAAUCACUCGACUUUUACCGUCUCCUAGUUAAGCAAAGCAGCUACUCGGUCCAACAGCUAGUGCUCAGAUCAUGGGUUAACUGAGUCAUGCAUCUAGGGUUUCACACAACUCCUAUAGGUAAAUGCACAAGCAUGUUACAGAAGGCAUGUGCAAGUUUGGUGAACACUCAAGGUUUUCAUGCAACCGGGGCUUGCCUUCAAGCAAGGAGGACGGGAACUGCUCGACUUCGGGGGUGACUUCGGCUUCGGAGGACAGGAGCUCGGCUACAGCUUCUUCUUCUGGCGCCGGGUGAAGCUCGUAGAAACCGUCGGCGAGGUGCAGCUCUACACGAAUGCAAUGCAAGGGUUAGCAUAGACGGUUAAAUCAACAGCAACACUGGCUCGCCUGAGCCCAGAAACUUGCGACAAAGAGCAGGAGGUUAUGGUGGUUCGAGAGAGCUGAUGAUGAUCAAGAGGUAAGGGUAGGAAAGGAACUAGUGGUCUGAUCCUUGAACUAGAGGAUGUGAUAAACUGGGGGUCCUUAGACGCAAGCGCUGAAGGGUUCCCAAGUUUUACACAUACACCCUCGAGUUGAAGAAAAAGAUCACAGCCAAGCCCUCGGGCGAGGCGGAUAAGGGUCGGUGGAACAGAUAGGAUCGGGCGAGACAGAACUGGGGUCGGGCGGAUAUGGGGGGUCGGGCGAGGCGGACUGGGGUCGGCAACUCACCUUCUUCCUGAAAGGAAAGCGUGGGGUCGGGAAGAAGCGGACUUGGGCGGAUGGACUAAGGUUUGAACAGAAGCUAAGACCGGCAAUGCUCCGACGGUGGCGCUGCUUCUUGAGGAUCACAAGAGAGCUUUUACGCAGCACGGAGGAGCAAGCUGCUGGGUGACUUGGAGAAAACUGAGAGAGAACUGAGAGAAGAACUCCUCAAGAACUAGGUGGGUGGUGCUAGGAGCUUGAGCAGGGAGCUAGAGAAGGCUGAAGGCAACAAGGGCGGAGGGAAACUCCGGCGACGGGGGCAUUCCUUUUAUAGCUGCUGGAGCAGAGGAAAGGAAACGGCGCGGAGAGAGAGAAGGGGAGCGGCGCGAAGACCGGGGAGAGGCAAUGGAGUGCUCUGCCGGGGCGGCGAUUGAGCGAAGAGGGCGGUGGUGCAGAGCUUCGGGGGUGACGCCAGCGAUCAUUGCGUUCUGCCGUCAGGGCGGCGUAGGAGCGGGUAGACUAGUGGUUGAGAUUUGGCGGAAAGCGGGCGUCGCCGUGCGGAAGAGGUGAUAGAAGCGACCGGUUUAACGGCGCUAGAAUCGAGGGCGCACAGGUGAGAAGAUAGGCGGACGCGGGCGCGGGGGAGAGCGCGGAACAACAGAUUGUCGGGCGGCUUCUGACAGAGCGGGGGAAAGGAACUGUCGCGGCCGCGGUCGGGGUUGGCGGUGGAGGAAUUGUCGUGUAGCGGCGACCGGGCAGCGCGACUGUGGCUGAAGGGACGGAAAAGACUGGCGACAUCGGGCUCUGGGGCCGGGAUCUGGUGGCGUGAUGAUGGGCGCGGGAGGCGAGGCGCUGCAGAAAGGGGUGCAGAGGGCUUCCGCUACCAUUGGGGAAAGGGGGCGCGGGAACCCACUCGGUUGCUUGCCAGAGACAAAACUGAGCGGCAGGCGUCAGAGAAGACGAGCCACGCGGCAGGAAGACUCUGAGGCGGCCAUGCAACUCGAGUGCGGCUAUCGCGGGGGAUCUAGAAAAGAUCUCACGGGUCCACCAGUGGAUAGAUCAGACGGGUGAGGAAGAUUAGCAGAAUCCGACGGUGGGCUGAGCUCGCCGGGGUCGGGAGAGGAGCGAAGCGGGAAGGGGUCGGAUCCAGGGGUCGGGACCAGGCGGCUAGCUGAGCACUUAGGCGCAAUCAAGCAAGACAGAUGACUAGGAUCAAGGGCUCUGAACAAGACUAACUCGGGAAGGGUUAGGGGUCGGUCGUUACAAGGACAUCUUGGGUUCCCUAGGUAAGAGCCAGGAACUCGUUGAGCUUGCGCUCCAAGCGACCUUCCGGAAUAUGAUGCCCUUUGAACGCGGUCUUAAACUCGUUCCAGCUGACUACAUGGCCGGCCGGCAACAUAGCAUGGUAGUGGUCCCACCAGAGCCGGGCGGAACCACGCAGCUGCUGAGCUGCAAAUCGGGCCUUGUUAUGGUCGGGGCACGGGGCGGUGAGGAGCUCGAACUUGGAUUCAAUCGUACGAACCCAAGCGUCGGCGUCGAGCGGUUCUUGUGUCUUCUGAAACAAAGGGGGCUGCGUCCCCAAGAAGCCUUCAUAUCGAGCAACAUGAGGUUGCUGCUGAGCUCUUCCGCCAUGGGGCUGCUGCUGUUGUCCUUGUACAAGAUGCCUCAGCAGCUCGGUUUGAGCCGCUAGGAUUGCCUCUAGUGGAGACGAGGGCGGGGGUGAGGGAAGAUCUUGUCUUUGCUCACUGCUGCCGGGCACAGAACCAGAUCUGGUGCGAUGCGCCAUCUGCAAGAGUUAACAUUCCAUUAAAUUCAUAAUCUUAGAAGUACUCCAACAGAUGGAACGCAUAAGUUAAAAAUUCUCCGAUGUAACUCUUGCUGAUAAUGCAACACACGUCCUCAUAAGGGAGAUACACUCUUCUCAUUGCCAUGUUAGUUAGAUCUAUCUUAGUUGUGUACUCGACUUCGGGCGAACCAUACCCUACCCAGACUCCUGGAAUUCCCUUACAUCUGAACUUAAGCCAAGGGGUCGGGCUAGGCGAUCAUCCCGAGAAAAGGGUCAGCAAGCGAUCCACACAAAAAGGGGUCGGGCGAGGCGGAGACUGCCUCGUGGGGUCGGACGCAUCCGAUCUUGCGAACCAAGGUCGGUCAAGCUUGAUCAAACCCACAGACAACAUCGUGUGUGGUCACUGCACAAAUUACUUAGUCUAACAUUCCAACACUUUGCCAAAGAGUUAAAGGUCAGACUCAGGAUUUGAUUUCAUUGGGAUCUUUUUACAGAGGUGUUCCAAACACAGGGAGUACUCGACUGAAGGCUGACCUAUCACAGAUCUUUCCAAAAUUUAGGCUGCCGAGGAGUACAACAAAAGAAUGAGUUCCUUGCAACUCUUCAUCUACAAAUGAACACUAUGAGUAGGAGAAGGGGCGCCGUCUUCUUCAAUGUCCAUACUGGACGCUCCCUCAACCUCCUCGGGGUCCUCUUAAGCUUCUAGUUGCAUAUGGAGGGCGUGCAUAUCGUCGAGCUCGGCUUGAUGCUCGUCCAGGUGAGCAUUGGCAACCGCCAGCUCCAUUUCCACUUCCAUUUUCUCCUCUGAUAGCUCGAUCAUGCCGUCCACCAGGUCGGAUACUUCUCCUUCGAGCUCAGAGAUUCUAUCUUGCAUGUCAUGGAUCUGAACGCCUUGUUGGAUAAGCUGAUAGGUUUGGCCUACCAGGUCUCUUCUGGCUGCCUGGAGGUGUCCUUGGGCAUCCACAGCGGUCUGAGCAAGAAUGGUCAUGGCUCUUCCUUGGAGCUCAAUCAUCCAAUAGAGGGCCGACAUACACCGGAUGUUGGUGGAGAUGGUGACCAUAGAGUAGGUGGUGGCCAGCACCUCGAUAUUGCCAACGCGGUCGAGCCACGCCGGAUCCAACCGGUUCCUGGCAGGGAACAGGCCGAUGGGGUCUAGGGUGACCUCCAGUGGGUGCAGCUGACAGAAACGAGUAAGGAGCUGAAGGGUGGCGGACUCCCAGGUGUCUUCUGGGGCAAGACCAUAUGCUGAUAUCCCGAACGAGGGCCAGUCAGGCCGCACAGGAGGAGGAGGUACUACUGCCUGUACGUUGCACGUCUGGACGCCUUGCUCCAGGUACAGUCGUCCUGCAUACAACGGUGGGGACUGGUACCCGAACCAUUUCAAGGUAUCCCACAAAAUCGCGGGGAAGCCCUCGAAGUGUAGACACGUUGAAUGGAAGGUGCCAUCCGCUCCAUAUAGGACAUGUCCGGGGGCGGCCAUCUGGAAUCAAGAAACCAAAACCACGUGAGAUGGACUCCAAAGGUCAGGGGUCGGACAAAGAAAGCAUUCGGUUUUUUAACUGAAAACAAGUUGGAGGAACUAGAAAUCCUUAGAACCGAAGAAGAGCUCUCCGAGCAAGGUUGCUUUUGAGGAGGGUGACUUUACAGAUUUUAGCUUAUGUCGCAUGCACGGCCUACAUCGUUCUCAACCAAAACAACUGGCAAAACUUGGUCUUACGCGGUUAGUGCCGGUGACAAGGCAACCAAUACGUCUCUCCCUAUAAUAGCUAGUCGGUUCUAGCAACGUCUCCUAAGCGAACGCGGUUAGUGUACCUGCAGAAAACACCACCACAGACGAACCUUUCGUGCCAGCACCCACGAAAGUGUUCCCAAACAUUACCGCUCACUAUAGGAACGGCACCCAUGCGUUCAAGGCUGCAUGGACAGCACUCAACCAUGGAAAUAGGUUGCCUUUGAAUGGAACCGUAUAACCCUUUGCAUACUCGCGAUGCGGAAUCAGCGCACGUAUAAUAGACGUGGCGAACAACCGUGCUGAUAGGCUCGUUGGAAUCGAACCGUACCAACCUUCGUAUGGAUUACAUACGGAACCUGCGCACGUAUGAUAGACGUGGGCGAAACAACCGCGAUGAUAGGGUCCUUUGAAUAGAACUCUCUAUCAACCCUCACAUACUCGUGAUGCGGAACUCGUCACACGUAUGAUAAACGUGGAGAAGUGCUGGAAGGGUUAGCAAGAUAACCAUGUAAAAUAUUAGCCACCUAAAACAACCCCAAAAUCCCCUAGGGCCUCUCGCACUGAAGUUAUCCUUAACGAUCGUACGAGAUAGUUUUCAAAAAGUUUCUUGCAACUUUUAUCUUUUCAAAGAAGUGUGCUAGGGCUUGUUGUGUUCUCUGUAUUGCUAACCAGCUCUGGUACCAGCUGUGGCGGAUCCACUUCGGAUUAACUUGAUUAAAUAGAGUUAAGUCGCCUAACAUGCGACACCCAUGCCUAAGCCAAGUUAACACGAAGUGCCGUCGGAUUUUAUCCGAUGAACCACGUGAACAGGAUCGAGUUAGCAAACUCACACGAAGAUGAGUGGUUCCAGAGAAUACAACAAGUCCACCGAGUGGAACAACUUAACCAUUUAGUUCGACCAGAAAAACAAUUCAUCAGAGUUUUACAAGGUUUCAAAAGAAAACAACCGAAGGUAAACAGCAAGCGGAAGCUAAACGCAGGGGUCGGACGUCCUUGGUGAGGCCAGCCAAGACGUCAGUGAUACCUUUCCUCGCCGUCCGAGAAGGGAUCCCACUCGACCGUCCAACCCGGAGGGAGCUGGGGCGGCCAAGUGCCAGCGGAAGAAGGCUCGGGAGCAGCGACUUCACCUGAAAAACAGGAGCCACAACAAGGCUGAGCUACUAAGCUCAACAAGACUUAACCGACAGGGAGUAACUACUCCACCACUUCUAGACAUGCAAGGCUCUUUGGCUGAGGGGGGUUUGUUUGCCAAGAAGCACUAAGUAAAACCCUAUUUUCAAGUUUUAGCUCCGGUUCUAAGUUCAUUAUCCGGUCUAAGUUUUGCAACCUAUUCUAGGCAACCAUAGAACCAACCAAAGGUAUAUAUAUAACAUCAUCAAGAUCAUGUCGUCAUUAUAUUUCUUUCUUACUCAGGGUAGCAUAGCGAUCAAGCAGUCUCAAACUGUGAGAGGCAGACGAAUCGAUUCGAGUUCUUUAACCAUGCAUGGUGAACCUAACCUCACGACAUUCGCGCACCCGAAGGUCGCUUCCUGUGUUGGCCUUCCCCAUCAAUCCCCUAACCCGUGUCGGGCCCAUUUCCUUUGGUGCAAGGUUCCACAGACCCGGCCUCUGUCGUUCUGUGACCACGCUUGCCACCACGUGCGACAACUAGCAGGGGAAACUCCGUUCCAAGAACAAUGGGGCGACCGCUCACGUCUAGGUUCAAUCCGGUACUAGGCUUCCUCAUCCCAUACUAAGUAUGAGGUUAGUACUUUCAAACACUUGAUCACGAACACCACCACUGUCAGGCCUUAGCAAGUUUCAUAGAUAGACGGGGCGAUCAACCGACCACCAAAGAGUUACCCAAAACCCUGCCCCGUCCAUCGUUCUUAUAGUUGUGACAGGAGGAAGACAACCCCUACCACUCGCGAGCAAUAGGAAAUCACUCGACUUUUACCGCAUCCUAUUUAAGCAAAGCAGCUACUCGAUCCAACAGCUAGUGUUCAGAUCAAGGGAUCUAAGUUAUACAUCUAUGGUUCCAAACAACUCCUAUACGUAAAUGCACAAACAAGAUGCAGAAGGCAUGCGCAAUUUUGGAAAACAUAGGGAUUUCAUGCAUCCAUGGCUUGCCUUCAAGCGAGAAAGGAGGAAGCUGCUCUUCUGCUCGGGCGGCUUCAGCUUCUGAGGGCAGGAGCUCGGCUACACCGUCGUCUUCUGCCGCCGGGUGCAGCUCGUAGUAGCCGUCGGCGAGACGCAUCUCUACACGAAUGCAAUGCAAGAGUUAGCAUUUUAGACGGUUAUUUCAAUAGCAACACUUGCAAGUAUGAGCCCAGAAACUUGCGACAAGUAAUAGGAGGGUGGGGAGGUUAAAGGAGUUGGUGGAGAUCAAGAGGUAAGGGUCGGAGGAAAGGAACUUAUGAUCGGAUCCUUAGACUAGAGGAAUAGCUAUGCUAGGGGUCCUCAGACUCAACGCUGAAAGGUCCCCAAGUUUUUACACAUACACCCUCGGUUCGAAGAAAAAGGAUACAGCUGAGUCCUCGGGCGAGGCGGACAAGGGUCGGCGGAACAGACAGGGUCGGACGAGACGGAACCGGGGUCGGGCGGAUAAGAGGGGUCGGGCGAAGCGGACAAGGGUCGACAGAACAGACAGGGUCGGGCGAGACGGAAAAAGGGGUCGGGCGGACGGAAGGGUCGGACGAGGCGGACAAGGGAUCAGCAGCUUACCUUUGUCUUACAAGGAAAGCUUGGGGUCGGGAAGAGCAGGUUCGGGCGGAGGAACUGGAAUACUAAGGCUUGCGGCGGAGAUGCCCGGCGGUGCUCCGGCGGCGGCGGUGCUUCUUGUGGAUCACAAGUAAGCUCUUACGCAGCACGGAGGAGCAAGCGGCUGGGUGGAUUGGGGAAAACGGUGUGAAGCGGAGAGGAGAGUUCCUCAGGGACUUAGUGUGGUGGCGCUGGGAGCUCGAACAGGGAGCAAGAGAAAUGGCGGGAGGGUAGUGAUGGCGAAGGGGACUCCGGUGGGGCUCGCGCAUUCCCUUUUAUAGCGGCGCGGGAGUGAGAAGGGGAGUGGCGCGAAGGCCGGGGAAGAAGUAAUGGAGUGCUCUGCCCGGGCGGCGAUUGAGCGACGAGGGCGGUGGAGCAGGACUUCGGGGAUGACGCCGGCGGUCAUUGAGCUCUGGCGUCAGGGCGGCGCAGGCGCGGGUUUGCCGGUGGUUGAGAUUUGGCGGAGGCGGGUGUCGUCGUGCGGUGGAGCUGAUGGAAGUGACCGGGAUAACGGCGCUAGGAACGAGGGCGCACAGGUGAGAAGACAGGCGGCUGCGGGCGCGCGGGCGAGCGCGGAGCAACAGAUUGUCGGGCGGCUUCUGACAGGGUGGGAAAAAGGAGCUGUCGCUGCCGUGGUCGGGGUUGGCGGAGGAGGAAUCGUCGGGUAGCGAAGACCAGGCGGCGCGACUGUGGUGAGGUGACGGAAAAGACGGGCGACAUCGGGCUCUGCGGCCGGGAUCUGGCGAUGUGAUGAUGGGCGCGGGCGGCGAGGUGCUGCAGAAAGGUUGCAGAGGGGUUUCCGCUGCGAUUGGGGAAGGGGGCGCGAGAAUCCAAUCGGUCACGGGCCGAAGACGAGGCGGAGCGGCGGCGUCGGAGGAGUUGAGCCACGCGGCGGGGGAACUCUGAAGUGAGCAUGCAACUCGAGUGCGCCUGUCACGGAAGAUCUGGGGGAAAAGAUCUCGUGGGUCCACCGGUCAGAUCGAAGGGAGGUGUUGGGGAAGACUUAGAAGAAUCCGGCGGGUGAGUUGGGGUCGGCGGGGUCGGAACCGGAGGCCAGCGGAGAGGGGUCGGGUCUCAGGGGUCGGGACCGGUCGGGAGGUUGAACACUUAGGCUUGGAAAACUAAGGCAGGUGAUCAGGGGCUCAGAUUAAGAUUAACUCGGGAGAUUUCGGGGUCGGUCGUCACACCCCUCCUCACCAAAUCUUAGAGACGAGUGACGCGCUAACCCCUCGCAGCGCUGGAGAGGAUCACCACUCGUGUGGCCGUGUGCCACGUCCGGAUCUACUCCCCUCACCGGAUAUUAACAUGAGUACGGUCGCCACCGUCGUCUUGCAACGCUGCCGCUGCCUCUGCCUGUUUAGACCUUGUUUAGUUUCCAAUUUGAAAGUGCUAAAGUUGUGAUUUUACCAUAAAUGCGCAACUGUAGCAUUUCGUUUGUAUUUGUGAAUUAUUAUCCAAACAUUGAUUAAUUAGGCUUAAAAAAUUCAUCUCGCAAAGUACAACAAAACUGUACAAUUAGUUUUUGAUUUCGUUUACAUUUAGUAUUCCAUGCAUGUACUGCAAGUUUGAUGUGAUGGGGAAUCUUCUUUUUGCAUAGUGUCAAAGUUGGGAGUUUGGAGGGAACUAAACAUGGCCUUGAUUAAGAAACCAUUGUGUCAGACCGGACGGAGUCUAGAGACCGUUACCUUGCGUAAGCACACGUGCACCGUUCGCUUGGGUUUCGGUUGCUGCGUUUCUAGCUUGAACAGCUUGGUCCUUCCGCUUGCUCUAAGCAGCUUACCGAUGAAAAUAAAUAAGAAUCCUGAUAAAUAAUUUGCUUAUUUUCAUCAAUUUUCACUUAUGUGGUAAGCCGCUUCAGAGAUUUAAACUACGAAAAGCGAAAAGCGAGAAGCGAGAAAAUCUUCGUUUAGAUUAUAAUCCAAGCGUGAUUAGAAGAAACGUAUCCCACCGCAUAAGGAUUAGUCGCCGCGUUUGACCGGAGCACUGUCUGACCGCAAGAAAGAUUAUGACGAGGCGAAGUCGCUUUAGGGAUUUAAACUACGAGAAGCGAAAAGCGAGAAGCGAGAAAAUCUUCGUUUAGAUUAUAAUCCAAACGUGGUUAGGAGAAACGUAUCCCACCGCAUAAGGAUUAGUGGUCGCGUUUGACCAGAGCACUGUCUGACCGGAUUAUGACGAGGGGAAAGUGACUCCGACCUAAAUUUCUCUUUUUUAACACAUGCAGUCAAGAACAAAAUGAUGAUAACUACUCUAACGGGCGUUAACAUAUAGUACAAGCGUACAGAUCAUGCUCUCUCCGAUAAGGCAUUUUAAGGUUUUAAGGCUGUUCGAAGCAAACCAUUUCGAAGUUUGACAAUAAGUAGUCUUUAUGUUGAGUUUGAAUAUUUAGAAGUUAUGCGAGUUUUGAAUGUUUAGAAGUUAUGCGAGUAUAUAUGUCUAAACACAGUUUUAAAAUAUGUGUACUUUCUGUACUGUACUGUAUAUUGGAAGAAAAAGUGGCGGUCAAAAUUUAAAAAGAUAACAUUGGACAGUCUGAAUGUGUCACUACUCACUAGUAGCCUAAGUGCCUGACCAAGACCUUGUUUAGUUAUCCUAAAAUCCCAACUUAAGCACUAUGCAAAAAGAAGAUUCUCCAUCACAUCAAACUUACGGUAUAUGUAUGGAGUACUGAAUGUAGACGAAAUCAAAAACUAAUUGCACAGUUUGGUUGUACUUUGCGAGACGAAUCUUUUGAGCCUAAUUAGUCAAUAUUUGAUAAUAAUUCACAAAUACAAACGAAACACUACAAUAUGCAACAGUGUUGACGCAGUGGACUAAACAGGGCGCAAAGGGAGUACUUCAGUUUAGGCCUCGACUUCUAGAGCAAAGACCCAGCUGAGCUCGGUCUUCCACUCAUCCACUGUACUUCGAGAAGGCAUUUCUCCACGAACAAGACGUUUGCGUCUGGAUGGAUCCUAAUCCGACGAAAAACCACGCACUAAUCCAGGAAAUCUUGAAAUAAGAAGCUUCGCAGCAGGAAGGACGGCUCGUGCCAGUCAACGGUAGGUGUUUAGCGUAGAAAAAACAGGGGAGCCCCUGCUCCGGCCGCAUUUGCUUACCGAGCGAAAUCGUCCCCCCUCUUCCCGCGCCCGCCGCGGCGGUCGAGCGCAGCCAACGCCACUCCACCCCACGAAACCCAAACCGUCCGAGCCAUCAGAUCAGACAUGGCACCGCCGCGCCGCGCUCGCGCGCGCGCCUACCUCCACCUGCUGCUCGCGGUCGUGCUGCUCCCCUGCUGCUGCCUCCCGCGCCGCGCGGCCGCGCAGUCCCCGCCGGCGGGCGAGGCGCGGGUGCUGCUGGAGAUCAAGCGCGCGUGGGGCGACCCGCCCGCGCUCGCGGGGUGGAACGCCACGGACGCGGCCACGCUCUGCAGCUGGCCGCACGUCGGUUGCGACGCGGCCGGCCGCGUCGUGAACCUCACCCUCGCCAACGCCAACGUCGCGGGCCCCUUCCCGGACGCCGUCGGCGACCUCACCGGCCUCACCUACCUCGACGUCUCCAGCAACAACAUCACCGGCGUGUUCCCGACCACGCUCUACCGCUGCGCUUCACUUCAGUACCUCAACCUGUCCCUGAACUACUUCGGUGGCGCGCUCCCGGCUAACAUCGGCAGCAGCCACGCCGCGAGCCUGACCACACUCGACCUCAACGGCAAUAAGUUUAAUGGCACCCUCCCGGCGUCGCUCUCCGAGCUACGGAGCCUCCAGUAUCUCGAUCUGAGCAGCAACAGCUUCACCGGCGCCAUCCCGGCAUCGCUCUCUGGACUCGGGAACCUCCAGCUUCUCGGGUUGAACGACAACCGCUUCACGGGCACCAUCCCGGCGGAGCUCGGCGAGCUCGCGAGCCUUCAGUCGCUGUAUCUGGCAAACAACCCUUUCGACGCAGGCCAGCUGCCGGCGUCGUUCAAGAAUAUGUCCAACCUGGUCAGCCUCUGGGCGUCGCAGUGCAAUCUCGUCGGAGACUUCCCCAAUUUUGUUUGGAGCCUGAAGAAGCUGCAACUAUUGUUUCUAUACACAAACAGCAUCACCGGCGACAUGGUCAUUGAUGGAUUUGCUGCGAGAAGCUUGACAAAAAUCGACGUCUCAGACAACAAAAUUAGUGGAGUCAUCCCGGAAGUGUUUGGGGGAUUGGAGAACCUCACAAUCUUGAACCUCUUCAUGAACAACUUCUCCGGCGAGGUACCAGCCAGCAUCGGCCAGUUGCCGUUACUGAGGAUAUUGAGACUCCACACCAACAGGCUCAACGGCACGCUCCCACCGGAGCUCGGAAAGCAGUCGCCGGGUUUGUAUUAUGUUGAGGUUGACUACAAUGAUUUCACCGGCGGGAUCCCUGAAGGACUGUGCACCGGAGGCAACUUCCACGAACUCAAAGCCAAGAGCAACCGAUUGAACGGCUCCAUCCCGGCAGGCCUUGCCAACUGCGCCACUCUUGGAACCCUGUCGCUGGACAACAACCAACUCACCGGCGACGUACCAGAGGCUCUGUGGACGGCGACGAAGCUUUACUUCGUGACAAUGCAGAGUAAUCAGCUCACCGGGACUCUUCCGGCCACGGUGCAUUUCAACAUUUCGACGUUACGCAUUGGGAACAACCAAUUCAGUGGCAACAUUCCGGCUGCAGUAGCUGCUCUCCAGGUGUUCACCGCCGAGAACAACCGGUUUUCUGGUGCGAUACCGGCGAGUCUUGGCGACGGCAUGCCGCUGCUGCAAAGACUCAGCUUGUCCGGGAACCAACUGUCCGGCGGGAUCCCGAGAAGCGUUGCUAAGCUAAGCCAGCUGACGCAAAUGGACCUGAGCAGGAAUCAGCUCACCGGCGGCAUACCGGCAGAGCUCGGCGCCAUGCCGGUGUUAAGUGUCCUUGACCUGUCGUCGAACAAGCUCUCCGGCAACGUACCGCAGGCGCUUGCGAAGCUACAACUCACCUCCCUGAACCUGUCCUCGAACCAGCUGAGCGGUCAGGUCCCGGCCGGGUUGGACACAGCGGUCUACGACACCAGCUUCCUCGACAACCCCGGCCUCUGCACCGCCGCUGCCGGAUCCGGCUACCUCACCGGCGUACCUUCCUGCGCCGGCGGAUCACAAGACCGCGCUUCCUCCGGAGGCGUCUCGCACGCACUCCGCACGGGCCUCCUCGCCGCCGGCGCCGCGCUCCUCCUAAUCGCCGGUGCGUUCGCCUUCUUCGUCAUCCGCGACAUCAAGAAACGGCGGCGCGUCGCGGAGCAAGACGACUGGAAG
rnacentral:lncRNA from 1 species